rnacentral:rRNA from 1 species
UACGGGGGGAGCAAGCGUUGUUCGGAAUUACUGGGCGUAAAGGGCGCGUAGGCGGUCUUGUAAGUCCUGUGUGAAAUCCCUCGGCUCAACUGAGGAACUGCACGGGAAACUGCUUGGCUUGAGUUCGGGAGAGGGAAGCGGAAUUCCGGGUGUAGCGGUGAAAUGCGUAGAUAUCAGGAGGAACACCGGUGGCGAAGGCGGUUCUCUGGGCAUUACCUGACGCUGAGGAGCGAAAGUGUGGGGAGCGAACAGG